rnacentral:rRNA from 1 species
GAUGAACGCUAGCGGCAGGCCUAAUACAUGCAAGUCGAACGGUAAGGCCCUUUCGGGGUACACGAGUGGCGGACGGGUGCGUAACGCGUAUGCAACAUACCUUCAAGCGGGGGAUAUGCCAGGGAAACUUGGUGCAACACCCCAUAGCAUUUCGGGACCGCAUGGUCUUGGGAUUAAAUAUUUAUAGCUUGGAGAUUGGCAUGCGUGACAUUAGCUAGUUGGCGGGGUAACGGCCCACCAAGGCGACGAUGUCUAGCUGGUCUGAGAGGAUGAUCAGCCACACUGGGACUGAGACACGGCCCAGACUCCUACGGGAGGCAGCAGUAGGGAAUAUUGGACAAUGGGGGGAACCCUGAUCCAGCCAUGCCGCGUGAGGGAAGAAGGUCCUCUGGAUUGUAAAGCUCUUUCGGCCGGGAAGAAAUCGCAUGGGUUAAUACCCUGUGUGGAUGACGGUACCGGAAUAAGAAGCACCGGCUAACUACGUGCCAGCAGCCGCGGUAAU